AGAAUGCUUAACACAUGCAAGUCGAGCGAAGAAAUUUCUUUCGGGAAAGAGUAAGAGCGGCGGACGGGUGAGUAAUAUGUGGGUAACCUGCCUUAUUCAAAGGGAUAGCCACUGGAAACGGUGAUUAAUACCAUAUAAAACAGCAACAUCGCAUGAUGUAACUGUCAAAGAUUUAUCGGAAUAAGAUGGACCCGCACCUGAUUAGCUAGUUGGUAGUGUAAUGGACUACCAAGGCGACGAUCAGUAGCCGGCCUGAGAGGGUGAAC
rnacentral:rRNA from 1 species